rnacentral:rRNA from 1 species
GACGAACGCUGGCGGCGGGCUUAACACAUGCAAGUCGAACGGAAAGGCCCUGCUUGUGUGGGGUGCUCGAGUGGCGAAGGGGUGAGUAACACGUGAGUAACCUGCCCUUGACUUGGGGAUAACUUCAGGAAACUGCGACUAAUACCGAAGAGGAGCUCGUGAUGCAGGGGGGGGGUUGGAACGUUUCGGCGGUUGUGGAUGGACGCGCGGCUUAUCAGCUGGUGGGUGGGGUAGUGGCUUACCAAGGCAUUGAUAGGUAGCCGGCCUGAGAGCGUGACCGGCGACAUUGGGACUGAGGUACGGACCAGACUCCUACGGGAGGCAGCAGUGGGGAAUAUUGCACAAUGGGCGGGAGUCUGAUGCAGCAACGCCGCGUGCGGGAUGAAGGCCUUGGGGGUGUAAACCGCUUUCGCCUGUGACGAAGCGUGAGUGACGUUAAUAGGUAAAGAAGCACCGGCUAACUACGUG